rnacentral:rRNA from 1 species
GACGAACGCUGGCGGCGUGCUUAACACAUGCAAGUCGAACGGAAAGGCCCCUUUGGGGGUACUCGAGUGGCGAACGGGUGAGUAACACGUGAGUAACCUGCCCUUGACUUCGGGAUAACUUCAGGAAACUGGGGCUAAUACCGGAUAGGAAUCCUUGCUGCAUGGUGGGGGUUGGAAAGCUUCGGCGGUUUUGGAUGGACUCGCGGCUUAUCAGCUUGUUGGUGGGGUAGUGGCUUACCAAGGCUUUGACGGGUAGCCGGCCUGGGAGGGCGACCGGCCACAUUGGGACUGAGAUACGGCCCAGACUCCUACGGGAGGGAGCAGUGGGGAAUAUUGCCCAAUGGGCGGAAGCCUGAUGCAGCAACGCCGCGGGCGGGAUGACGGCCUUCGGGUUGUAAACCGCUUUCAGCAGGGGCGAAGCUUGUGGUGACGGUACCUGCAGAAGAAGCACCGGCUAACUACGUG